GGUCGGGACCAGUGUCCCUCUCUGAAGAGAAGCUGAGGUGAGAAUCUCCUCAUUAAGAGUUUCGUCAUAGUUCACACAGUUUUUUUUUUUAACCAAAUGUAGAAAGUAACAUCAUUCUUUAGGCUGUGCUAUAUUUUUGUUUCCUUCUUUCCUCCCAAAUGCGUUCAACUUACUCCCCUCACUAUUCCUCACUCUGAAUUUCCUCUCACUUCCUCGCCUCAUUCCGGAUCUUUUUGAUUCCUAAAGCCUUUUCUUUUGUUUCUCUCAGAACGCGGCCUUCAGUCCUUACUUUGAUCAGUUUAUGAGUUUCCCUGGUAUCUUAACUAAAAUUGUAUCACAGACCCCCUUGUCCAUUCCUUUCUUCUUUUUUGUAUGUUAUUUUUCUCCUUAGUUCUUGCCCUUAACCAAGCACUGU
rnacentral:lncRNA from 1 species